rnacentral:rRNA from 1 species
AUUGAACGCUGGCGGAAUGCUUUACACAUGCAAGUCGAGCGGCAGCGCGGGGCAACCUGGCGGCGAGCGGCGAACGGGUGAGUAAUGCAUCGGAACAUGUCCAUGUCGUGGGGGAUAGCCCGGCGAAAGCCGGAUUAAUACCGCAUACGCCCGAGAGGGGAAAGUGGGGGACCGCAAGGCCUCACGCGAUUGGGUUGGCCGAUGUCCGAUUAGCUUGUUGGUGAGGUAAAGGCUUACCAAGGCGAUGAUCGGUAGCUGGUCUGAGAGGAUGAUCAGCCACACUGGGACUGGGACACGGCCCAGACUCCUACGGGAGGCAGCAGUGGGGAAUUUUGGACAAUGGGGGCAACCCUGAUCCAGCCAUUCCGCGUGAGUGAAGAAGGCCUUCGGGUUGUAAAGCUCUUUUGUCCGGAGCGAAACGGUCACGGUGAAUAUCCGUGACUACUGACGGUACCGGAAGAAUAAGCACCGGCUAACUACGUGCCAGCAGCCGCCGUAACAC